UCGGGAAUUUUGGGCAAUGGGCGAAAGCCUGACCCAGCAACGCCGCGUGAGGGAUGAAGUAUUUCGGUAUGUAAACCUCGAAAGAAUGGGAAGAAUAAAUGACGGUACCAUUUAUAAGCUCCGGCUAACUACGUGCCAGCAGCCGCGGUAAUACGUAGGGAGCAAGCGUUGUUCGGAUUUACUGGGCGUAAAGGGCGCGUAGGCGGCGCGGUAAGUCACUUGUGAAAUCUCUGAGCUUAACUCAGAACGGCCAAGUGAUACUGCUGUGCUAGAGUGCGGAAGAGGCAACCGGAAUUCUUGGUGUAGCGGUGAAAUGCGUGGAUAUCAAGAGGAACACCUGAGGCGAAGGCGGGUUGCUGGGCCGACACUGACGCUGAUGCGCGAAAGCCAGGGGAGCAAACG
rnacentral:rRNA from 1 species